rnacentral:lncRNA from 1 species
UAGAGAUCCUGAGAUUAAGUAUUCAGCUAUUAUGUCACAGGUUAACUAACCCAGUUGAAAGAUUUCAUAGCUCACUGCCUUUUACAUAUAAUUAUGGCAAGUGAGUCCUAGGAAUGCUUAGACAAUGAGAAUGGGUGGCACUCGUUAAAGUGGCGGCUGUUGUAAGGGAGACUGACACGUGUGGAAAUUACAAUAUUGCGCAGAUGGAUCUGUGUAUUUACAGCAUACAUUCUAUACACACUAUACACUGAUACAUUAACAUACGAUACCACCAACGCACUGUAUGCUAAUUGGGCAGGUAAUAGAUGACCACCGUAUUAGGCGACGAAGUCGCGGGAUGCUGCUUAUGAAAUCAUCAUGCACAAACAACUGGUGAUCUCGGCCUGGAUUUGCAACCCAAUUGGUUGGAACGAGUGACGGGCGAUUCUGUUCCAUUUCCGCUUCAAACGACUGGACGAAACGAGUCGCGAUCUCCCUCCUCCUGACGCACGCUUUCGUCACUUCCUGUCACACUUGCAUUCUGCAUAUAUUCGACCAGUGUCCAUAGCCACGAAGACGACGAUAUAACGAGGUCUCUUUCGUAAGUCAGGAAAGCUCCCGUUAUUGUCCGCGAAGAUACUGCGACGUGUACCCGGAGAUCGGAGCCUGUUUCUUGGGUAGCCGUAAUCGAGACCCGUUUCCAUUUCGUACGCUGAUAGCCCACCGGAUUGCUUCACAAUCGAGCAUUUACAAGACUUUCCGUGUUACUGGGAUAUGUAACGGCGAUUCCCAGCCUUAUCACCUUCAGACGAUACCGGGAGUCUUGCAAAUUAGCAGAAAAUUGCUAUAUAUUUUAGGUUUAAACCUCAUCUAAAAAACGGACGAGCAUUUCAACGAUUUUUGAUACACAAAUGAGACCUCCAACGCCGCAAGGAAAGAUUUGGGGACCGGAAUAUUGAACCGGUACCGAAGAAUCCUGUUCUACAGGUGGCUGUAACAGAUCUUUGCUCAAGACCGACGCAUCGGGGUUACUUUACAAGUUUUUCGAAGCUCAAAAAACUUUUCUUUAUAAAUAAUCUCUGUUUAUCUCUUGUUAUUUUACAGACGUGACUAAUCACGUUUUAACAAAAAUGGAAUAAAGAUUCUAGUGAACUUCAUAAAACUUUUCAAAAUGUGAUUUCAGAAGAAUUGUCAAUUAAAAAUAAAUUUUUAUUUAAUUUGGGAGCUAUAGUUUAAAAGAUUCUUCUUUUAAUAACAAUGUAAAUGAAUACGAAGAGAAUGAAUGCGUAGAGUCAAUCUCUAUAUAGUAAGCGUCGCCUGUUUGAUAGAAAAUGGACGAAAAAUUGGCAUGAAGCCGCGCACUGAAAAUCGGUGGUUGCGGAAAUGGGUGGUUAUUAAUACUCAAGUGAGCCGCAACGUCAUUGAAUAGCGUUACGCCUGCCAUUUCUUAUACGUAUAUUGUGUAAAAUGUACAAUAUAUGACUUGAUAAAUAAAUAUUGUCAUCGAAUUAAUUUUCUUAAUGAAUCAGUAAAAUUUGUUUGGAUUUAUUACGUAAUAAUUAAUUUCCCAUUGUAAUUCCGAAUUUAUUGUC